rnacentral:rRNA from 1 species
UACAGAGGUCCCAAGCGUUGUUCGGAUUCACUGGGCGUAAAGGGUGCGUAGGCGGUCGGGUAAGUCUGAUGUGAAAUCUCACAGCUUAACUGUGAAACUGCAUUGGAUACUAUCCGGCUAGAGGAAUGGAGGGGAGACUGGAAUACUUGGUGUAGCGGUGAAAUGCGCAGAUAUCGGGAGGAACACCGGUGGCGAAGGCGGGUCUAUGGGCCGUUACUGACGCUGAGGAACGAAAGCGUGGGGAGCGAACAGG